rnacentral:lncRNA from 1 species
GGCAACAAUUAGUAUUAAAUCCUUGAUUCUCUAUUAGUUAUUGAUCUCACGAUCAAGAGAUAAAGAUCACGACAACACAAUUGGAAGAUUCACUUGCUGAAGGGCAAUCCACCAACAGACCAUCACUUUUCAAUGGCACAAAUUACAUAUAUUGGAAAGCUCAUAUAAGAAUUUUAUUCAAGCUCUUGAUUAUUAUAUGUGGAGUGUCAUAAUCAAU